rnacentral:tRNA from 1 species
UCUUUAGUCCAAAUGGUUAGGACGGUCGACUUACAAUGGGUAGGUACUUGGUUCGAUUCCUGGAG